AGCACAACAUGCCAAAGUUCUGGCUGCUGGCUUCAACCGCAUUCCCCAAUGCACUCAUCAAGCAAGCAAAGGUAUUCUCGUAUUCCAUUUCCCCUUCCCUUUUUUAUGCUUACUUUUGUUUGUCUGCCUCAAAUCGAAUGUUAACAGACUUUGACUAUGUGCUUCAGUGCAUUCCCAGACAGCCAAACAGGCUCAGUCAAAUGCUUGUGAGUACUCUCUCAUCUCAUCUGACCUGACCUGUGUUUGAUAGUUUGAUAGUUCGCAAAUCACGCAAAUAGAAUUGAAAUUGACUGCAGACCAAUUGCAAGGCAGAUCUUCAAGAUUUCAAUUGAUUGGGUUUUUACGCCGGGCAAAGCCCAGUCAGAGAAAGAGAGACAGAGCUUGAGCAGCGACUUGAGAUUCUGCUAUAAAAGCAACGACUUUUGCCAGUCAGUUAUAUAUUCGUAGAGACAACGAUACAGUCUAGACAACAAUAAUGCAAUUCUUACGCAUCUGUGGAUUUGUCGUGGCUCUGAUUGUGGCUAUGGCUAGUGCGGCUCCAGAACCCAAGGGCACGGUGCUGAUUCAAACUCCCAACAGCCAGACCAUCUAUACGGGUUAAUAAUGCAAGAGGCGAGCUGAAGCUGAAAAGUUUGAAAAAAAAAAUUGGAAAUGUUCGACUAAAAUUUGUACAUGGUAAUAUGCAAUGCAGGAUUACACUCGCAAUUCAAUAAUAACGAAAUAUAUAAUCAAAUGUGGUUUUACUAAAAA